rnacentral:misc_RNA from 1 species
UUUCCGUAGGUGAACCUGCGGAAGGAUCAUUAUUGAAUAAACAACUUGCAAGGGCUGUCGCUGACCCGACAGGUCGUGCCCGCCCGGGUGCCCUCCCACACAUCCAUCGCACCCCUAUGUGCAUCACCGCGCGGGUCCCCCCUUGGCUUCUUCGGCGGGGGGCUUCCGUUUGCCCUCAUACCUUGCAUCCAGUGUAGAAUGUUUUUUUUGUAUUUGCAAUUACGAAAACAAUACAACUUUCAACAACGGCUCUCUUGAAUCCUGCAGCGAUGAAGAACG